rnacentral:rRNA from 1 species
AGCUUCAAUAGUGUAUGUUAAAGUUGUUGUGGUUAAAAAGCUCGUAGUUGAAUUUCUGCCAAUGUAAACUGGUCCACCCAUUGGGUGAGCAUCUAGCUUUGCUGGAGCACAUUAUUGGAGAAACGCGGCUGCACUUGACUGUGUGGUGCGGAGCCCAAGUCUUUUACUUUGAGGAACGUAGAGUGUUUCACGCAGGCAAAGGCCUUGAAUUUUCCAGCAUGGAAUAAUGAGGUCAAGCUGCUGCUCCAUCCUGCUGGUUCCUGAAGCAGUUGCGGUGAUGAACAGGGAUACUUGGGGGCAUACAAAUUCAACUGUCAGAGGUGAAAUUCUUGGAUUUGUUGAAGAUGACCUACUGUGAAAGCAUUUGCCAUGAAUGUUU